CUGAUGAACACAUCCCUUGGAACUGCUACUGUAUGAAAGCUGUAUCCUAGAGGUAGAGCACAUGGUAUGGAAUAUGGCUCCUGCAUUGCUCCUGAGUGCCAUUGGACAGGUCAUGAGAAGCAGACAAGUGAGUGGUGAGUCUGUAUUUCAACCCUUGCAAAGGAACCUUUCCCAAAGCUGUUGUCUCCUUGAUUUUUCCUACCAGCAUUUUUGCAACUGUAGCCAAGAAUCCUAGAAAGUGAAGUCUGUCUUGCUCUCAGCAGAGGACUGUGCUCCCUUGGCAGCAAAGUCAGUGGGAAGUUUUACACUGGCUCCAUCAAGGAGACACAUAUUUGAAGGAAUGCUGACAUUCACUGAAGAAUAAAGUUUUUUGGUUUUGUGGUGGCACUUGAAUAGAAGUAACAUUUGCAGAAAAUAACGCUUCUGAGGACAUUGAAUCAGCUCCAGAAAGCCUCAAGGUGCCAUGAUUUCUGUGAACCUGUUCUACUGUGCACUGAGGAUAGGUUCAGGGGAAUAUAGCACAGACUUUGCAUAGAUCAACAGAAAUCUACCGAGAGAAAAUUGGAAACUUGAGGGAAGGCAGGGUAAACCCUCAGAGGAACAACCAGCAGCCAACUACCCACCCAAAGGCUUUCCCAUUAAAGAAGAAGAAUUAAAAAAAAAAAAAAAAGCUGGUGUUGGUUGUGGAAUUUUUUUUCCUGUUGUGGAUCACUGUUUCUGUAUUUGACACUCCUGGCCUUGGCAUGUAUUUUUAAUUGCCUUGCUAUAGUCCACUGGCAUUUUAGGAUUGAGAACUCAAACAUCAGGUCAAUCAAGGCUCUUUGGUAACAAUGUGAACCACAUGGCAGAAGGAAUAUAGGUGCAGCAGUUUCAUCAGCUUUUAUUUGGGAAUGUGGGAAGCAUAUUAGGUAUGAAAUGGCUUUGCUGUUCAGGAAAGCAUUAAGUAAUAAAUAGCAAAGGAAAUAGGACUGGCUGAUUUUAACAUUGGUAUAGAUGCAAAACUGUUGAUGCUGUCUUAUUGCUACAGGGAGGUGUUAGCUGUCAGAUCCUAUUGAUUUCAGCUUAGAUGUCUUAAUUAGUCAAUCCUAUUGAUUUCGAUGAGGAUGUCAUGAAAAGUAAUUACUUUACAUUCAGCAUAGUCAUUUUUUCUAUUUUAGCAUCUUUUCUCCUUCAAAAAUCAGACUUCUUAAAUUGCUAAUAACACUAAUACCAAGAAGGCAGCCAGAUUAUUUGGUGUAAGACUCAAAACUAGACUCCCAAGACCACUUAUCAUCAUUUUGACAGUUUUUGAAACAGACCACCGGAGCUACACUCAAAACUGUCAAAAAAAAGUUGUGUUUCAAUACUGCUUCUUCCCCAAGGUCUGAUUACAGUUUGGUAUUCUUAACUUAUUGAAUUUUCCCUCAAGUAGUCUUUGUGCCUGAAAAUUGUUGAGCUGUUCCAUCGUAUUAGCAAGAAGUGCUUGUUCUAGCAGUGUACAGCAGGGACAACAAAGCUCAGAGAGUGCUAUGUCACCUCAUUCAUUUUUCCACACUUCUCACUUAUUUAUUUCAUGUCUGACAUCUUCUCUAUGUCUUUGCAUGAUCAAAGUCAGGAGAGCUAGUUUUUGGUGCACUAUGGAUCAAAGGCUAUUUUUAUCAAAAUGAUUGCAUUUGGCUAAAAUCAAUAUACAUAUUUUAUAACACCUUUCAGUUUAGUCUCAAGUGUUGUUUGGGUCAUGCUUUAAUUUAAAAUUAAUCACAUUUUACAGACAAAAGACCACAAGUAAAAGACUUAAUUUAUAGACUAAUACUAGCCACACUAGAAUGUGAAUAUAUUUAAACAAACUGGGAGAGAAGUUCUCCCGAACUAGGACAGCAGGAAAAAAGACUUUUACUUUUUUUAUUUAAAUAAUAAAUAAAGAAAAAUAUGCACACAUAAAUAAAUAUAUUAAAGCCAGCAAUCUUCAUGAAAUGAUCUUCAGGAAGUAUUUUUAAUGUACUUAAGUAGAGCACAAAAGUUUGACAACACAAUGGCCCUAUCCAUGUCAUUCUGACUAUCUUCCCAAGAAACACAAAGUUAACACAAACUUUUUGUUUUUGUCUUUUACUGAGCCUGCCCCAAAGCACUCUAACAAAGGCUGGUUGUCUCUAAGCAGUUUUCCAAUAUGAUAACCAAAAGCAGGUCCUGAGUUUUAGCUGAGAAGACUAUAUUAGGGUCUAGGAAUACUAGACCAUACUUCUACUUUUGGAAGAAGAACUGCACAGAGAUAUGAACAUAUUUAUGAACUAAAAGAAGAAACCUGAUGUAAUGACAUUCGACAACAAAAAACAGAGUCCAUAAUUCAACAACAUCUUGUCCAUUCCGAAACAGAUUUUUGCUCUCACAAUGUUGAGACUGGGCAAAGUAAUAGAGUAUAAAAUGGGCAGAGAAAAAUAGACAAAAUGUUUCCUGACAGACUGACUCACUGUAAGAGACCAUUCUCUGCGUAGACAUGAGGUUCCUUGGUUGUUGUCUCACCAGUUUUUGGAUCAUCGCUGAAAUAUUCUCCUCCUAUUAGUCCAGAAGCAGAACUGCUGAGCUGCAAGGCUGAUUCACACACUCUCCUUGCAAUGUUACCUGUUUGUUUUGAGGAGUAAAGGAUGAAACAGACUAAAAUGAUCCCUUGUAGUUUUUAUCUAGGACAUUGUGAUCUUGGGCAAAUGCCCUUCUUUCACAGAAAAAUAGUAUAGUUUUCCGAGUAAUUUAUACAACAGAAUUAGUUGAAGACAGUUCAUGGACUAAUUUCCAACACAAGAAGGGAAAGCUCCAUAUUAACACCUUCUUCAUUUAGAUUGGAUUCUUGUAGUUUAAGAGGAUAAUAUUUGGUUCAUGUAAUGGUACUGAAUGCAUAUCAAGGAUUUUGGGAAUCAUGUAGUUUACAGUAUCUGCAAAGAUUUUCACAAUGUAAAGCCUGUUGGAUUAGUUUUAUAUCAGGAGUAAUUGUCUGACUGUAUAAACCUGUGCCACAUCUUCUAUAAUAAACAGUGGUUUAUCAUAGAACUGAGAUUGCUUUCUUAAAGUAGAAAUUUUUAUAAAGUCACUGUUAAAGCAUCAUUUAAUUCAAUGUUUUAAUGGGAUGUUAUGUAAUUGUAUGGCUAUUUUAAUAUAAAUUAGAAAUUUCCUGACAUGGCAUAUUUUACUUGCCUCAACGUGUAUAUUUUCUUCUCAAAAUCAGGUGACUGUUUUUCAGACCUUCUGAGCAUCUGCUGCCUUCUGGGAUGGGUAGCACUGGAAGUACCAUUUCCUGAGUACCUCAAAAAUUAGGGGAAAAAAAACCCAAGGAAACAAACAAAUAUAAAACAACCCCAAGAAUAUCUAUGGGAAUUCAUUUCGGAGAGAAAUUUAAAGGAACUAGUUUUUUGUCUGGCAUUUCACAAUUUAAGAAUCUAUACAUUUAUUUUGUGAUACUUUCUCUGAAGGUCAUUUUUGAAUCUUGCUGUAUUUGUACACUAUUGCUGUAUCAGAUUUUUCUCCUGUGAGGUGUCAAAUCCUCCUUUCUCUUUGUGCCCUAAAUGUUCAGAUUUGACCCCAAAGUUGUGGAAACUGGCCAGGAAGUUCAAUGAUACAAUAAAGCAAUCUUUGGUGAA